UUCACUCCCAGUUUUAGUGGAGCUGAAACUGUUUGGCUGAGCUCCAGCUCCAGGCCAAACAAGCCCUUACAUCCUCAUUCCAUUGAAUCAACGCCACCAAACGAGGGGAGGAUAGGCGUGGAGACGGACGGGGAUCGGAGUCGGAGAUGAGGCCGAGCCGACGCAGCAGCACGCGGUGGCGCUCCUCGACGGAGGUCGGCUCAGAGAUCCAGACCUCGUAGGCGGAGAACGUCGCGGACGUACGACGACACAGCUGCUGCGGCCGCCGCCGCCGGUGCUGCUGGUCAGUGGUCACGUCGUCAUCGGAGGCGGACGUGAACGAGCACGACGAUCCAGCGACUCGUACAACUCCUCAUCCUCCUCGCCAUUCCAGCGACGCAUGCCACCGACCUGUGCCACCGAAGCGCCCGCCUCGCCGAUCUCAUCCACGGUCGAUCGGUACAGAGUAAAUCAUUUUCUUUAUUGUAGGAGAUUACAGAUCAGUUUCCAUAUGUUGCCUAUAAGCAUGGAAGCUCUCUCAUUUCACCCAAGUUGUUCGUCUACAAGUAUGUCCCCUGCUUUGGUUCUUCAAUUAUAUUGUCACUUCAUUAGAUGUAGUACUUUGGAUGACAAUGAGAUUGGCUUAAAAUAAUUCUGCCUUUCAGUAGGCAGCACAGAACAGAUUUCCCCUCCAAUGUAUUAGGGGAGAGAUUAGAUUUUCUAAGCAGAAACGUUCUGAGAUUCGACCAGAAAACUGAAUUGAUAUUUUAGUAAUGUACUGUAGUUUGCUUAUUACUUUCCAAGAUUGCUCUGUGAUAUGUAAGGACAGCCUUACUUACUAGAGAUUGUGAUAUUUCAUAUGGUGGCAUGAGUGCUGAUAGAUAAUUGAUAUGUGCAUACACAAGCUUUUACACAUUAAUUUCCAUGUCAUUGCUAAAUAUAGAUUGAUGUGUGCAUUCCAGAUAGGUUGAUGGGAACAUAUUAAGGAGGUGCUUACGAUUCAUUGACUGCAAGUUAUUUAUCUAUCUAUUAUAUACUAAAAGUCUAUUAAACUUUCUACAAAAGCUCUUAUGCUACCACAUGGCGCUCUAAAUACGAUCUCAAGCUGACAUGUGGCGUUAAUAAAAUCCAUCCCUUAAUUUUCAUUUAACUCGGUGGGCCCUAUAUUCUAAGCCGUUGAUUUGGUUGAGAUUAAAACAAACCAGCGAGCUGUGCAUGAACCAAGCGCCUCUGGAACCGCUAUGACCCGGAUUCCCGUGCGGGCAGGGUGAUCGAUCAACAUGUUGAUCUCUGAUCGAUCGAUCGAUCAACCUGUACAGUGGACACCCUUCUCCUGCUCAUCCUAGCCUCCUUGCAAGACAUGUGGAAGCCCUGAUGAUUAAAUCACUAUUCGCUUUUGGUAUUCACACUCCUAUGCAUAUGUACAUGUGGUUUUUGCAUGCAUACUAUACGCUGAUUAGUUUGCUUGCCGAAUAGUAAUAAAUCCAACCCAUCUCUAACCUCUGCUUCACUCCCCUUUUCUCCCUUCUUUGUAUGUCUAGCAGUUUGAGAUAAAAUUUUAUGAUAAUAAAUUUCAAACAGCCAUAACUUCUAAAUUAUAUGUUUGAUUUUUAUCUAUUCAUCAUCUAUCUAUUAUAAACUAAAAGUACAUUAAACUUCCUAUAAACACUCUUAAGCCGUCACGUGGACUCCUACCAACGCUCCUAAACCGCCACAUGGUGCUCUAAUAAUUUAAAGAAAAUUCUAAGAAAAAUAUCUAACCGUCAAUUUUCAAUUUUCAUUUAAAGCGGUGGACCUAAUACUAUUGACCAUUGGAUCAAAACUAAAUCCCCCAUCACCCUUCUAUCCCGGACCCAUAUGCAUGUACGUGGACAAUUACAUCUGGUAGCUACAACGUUUAUUUAUUUGAUUGCUUGAUUUAUUAUUGACAUUAGGCAGGAUAAUUAUAUAUGGCCUCGGUGUGCUCGAUUGAUGCAUGCAUCCGGUUCCUGAUUUUUUUUCUAAAUACAUGAUAUAUAUGUACACCAUAAUUUAUCAUCAUAAUAAUUAUUAGAUCUAUUUCUCAUGGAGACUGAUUUAGGUGUGAACGUGCAAGCGCUAGGGAUUUACAAUAGGAGUGAUCUUGGUGCUGUAAAUAAACAAUUAUUUUAGACGGUCUACACGUUUAAUUUAAGAUACACUUGAGCAGCUUUAGUAUUUUUUUCAUCAAAUCAACAAUCCAAGACCAUGUUGGCUAUUUGCUUUACUAUUAUAUCAUAUUAUAUCUUAUAGGUCCUCCUCAUACAUAUAUUAUACAACCGUGUAUUUAUGAUACAUCGCAUGCCAAAAAUAAUUAUUACACAAUUAUAUUUAACCAUCCAAUCGUAUUCAUAAUAGGCUAUGUGGAGCCUCGCACACACUCUAAAUGAAAUGCUCACAGAUGGAUUGUCUCUCAAACUAUGCAAUCAUAUUACAAACCCAUGAAUGUAGUGUAGCCUCAUGUUGUACCCAAUACAUCUGUCAAUAAAUAAUGGGCGACCUAACUAACAUCAGUAAUCCAAUUAAAAAAAAGCACCUUGCUUACUUUAUAUUUAAUUUGGUAGGCAUGUUUUCUAAACAAAAUAAGUCUACCUUCUAUUUAGAUGAUGAAGAAGAUUAUAAAUAAUUGCUUAUAGAAAUUAUUUGAAUAUGAUAUGGUAUAAAGGUAACUAAUAAGUUAAAAUUAUAUAAGAAAUACUAACAAAAAAUGUGAAUAUAUCGUACUUUUAAAGUGUGGUAGAUUUUCUCCGGUGAUAUUCUAUCCUUAUAUGCUUCUCAAACCUAACCUACGAUGCAUGCCCGCGCAUUCGUGUUGAGUUGUAUAAAACAAAACAGAAAAUAGAAAAAUAAAUGCCAAUAUGAACUACAUUAAUUGAAAUAAUUGGUGAAAAUCUUAUAACUUAUUUUGCUUCAUUCUUUUUUCUUAGAUAUUAAUGAUUUUUCUUGCAUCGCAUCAAUUUUUUAAUUAAGUGCUUAGAUUAUUUUUUUUCUCUAUCGUACGCCACAGUAUUAUGAAUUUCUCUACAUAUUAUUGCAAAUAUAAGCAACAUACUAAGGUUACCGUACAUAAUCGGUUUAGAAGUUAUAUUUCUUACUAUUAAAUUUAAUUUUUAAGGGUCAAGUUGAUUAGGUUUUUUCUUUUUAAGAAAUACAAUAGAUCACAGAUAUCAUAGGGAAACAAGACCUAGGAUACAUGUAUAUCAUCUCUGUCCUAUUCAUAUGUAAGUAAUAAUUAAACUGCAUCAAUAUAAACCAAAUAAAAGAAUCGCUAGCUAGAUGGUACAAAUAAAACACCUUUGAUAGCAAUUAAAGUAUUUUUAAGAUUUGAUAGAAAAAAGUUAUCCCCUAAAGAAACACCUACCUUUUAAAUUACAUUUAAUUUGUAGAUAUGUUUUCUAAAUAUACUAAAUUUGUCUUAUUUUAGAUGAUGAAGAAGAUUAUAGAAAAUUGCUUAAAGGAAGAUUAAAUAUUAUAUGGCAUAAAGCUAACAAAUAGGUUAAAAAUUUAUCUAAGCAAUACAUCCUAUGAUACAUGCCCGCGCGAAUGCGCGGGCUACCUUCCUAGUUUAUGUAAUUUGAGGAUAAUAAAAGGAAUUGUCUAAACAUCUAGACAUGGUAGCAUCUAAUUUGCUUCAGGAAUUAAUUGUCUAAUUUGCUCGAUGCUUUGUUCUCUUUUCUGCCAGCAAAUAUACAAACCAAAAUGUUAAUUCAUUUCUCAAAGCUUUAUUUGGAGCAAGGUUAGAGUGCACAUUCUGUAUAUUUUGGUCAAUCAACAUAUUAUGACUGCCUUUUUUUUAUCAUCAUUUAUCUGAAAGGCUGAAACAUAUUAUGUUCAAAACACCUGGUAUUUUUUUACAUUUUUUAGUACAACAAGAAAAUCAAGUUCCUCAGCUUUUUGUGAAACACUUUGUCCUGAAUGAUGGAGGUAGCAUCAGUUAUGGAAUUGGUCUUUAGAAAAUGAUGGUGUAAGGUGAUCUGAUUUGUUCAUUGAGUAAUCGUGCACAUGUAAUGUGGCAUGCCUUCCUUUAUAAUUAUGAAGCCAUUCUUAACAACGGCCACAAGUUUCGAAAGCUGAUAGAACCAAACAGGAAUAUAAAAGUGAAUUUGGGCAAAAGUAUGGACUGAUUCUUCAUAUACUUGGAAUGGUUGGGGUGCAAUUCUUCAUAUACUAUGUGUGUAUUGUGACAUAUUAUUUACUGUUAAGACGGUGAUAAGGAUUUGAGAGGUGCUAGAGGGAGAAUACCUUCAAUACUCAGUUUAUUUCCUGACCUGUUAUGAUUAACCUGGAUUUCAAGCAUUAUACAAUAGGAGAAUAUUUGAAUAUUUUGUGGUGUCAGUGGUAGAAGAUAUACGUUGAGGACUUCAUUAAGAUUAAUCUAGACGAUAUAUUUGGACUACACCGUAUGUUUGUGUUCUCACUGGAAAAUACAAGCUCUAGUGCAGUUGUCAGGUAUGGUGACCUUUGAUUUGGAUUUAUUUAUGAUAUUUCCUCAACAAUCUAUUAGGUUUUGUGCUCUCACUAAUUUCUUAUCUAUCUCAAAAAUUUAACAGAUGGUUCCUUAAUUUGUAGUGAGUUUGGUUCCCGUCGCUGGUCCUAUGGUCCAAUUGUAUUUUCAGACAGUCCAGCUUGCAUGUGGAUUUGAGCGGAAUUUAUGUAGGCUAUGAUUGAAUGCCACAAUAUUGCAAUGUCAGGCAUAUAACACAGGGGAGUGCAGAAAUUCUGUUGAGAGAACUCAAUCUGAUAAUGUAUCUCUGAUGGUACAAAUAAAUUGUAGUCAUAUGAGUUAUUCCAAGCAACUGACUUUGAUUAAAGAUGCAUCAACUGAGCAUUGUUAGCAAUACAAAAUUACCUGAUUGGCAAUUAUGAAUGCAUCCUGAGCAUCACCUUCAGUAUAUGGAGGUUCAUUUGUUAGUCAUUCAAGCGGCUCUUGCUUAUAACAGUUGUUUAUCUUCAAGUUCCAAUUUUUUUAUCCCUAAUGUCUCAUUGUUUUUUAGAAUUAUUGGUAAAUCUUGUACAUAAAAGUUAUAGUCUUUGGAAAAAAUUUGUAGUAAGCAAGGCUGUUUCUGA